AGAACGAACGCUGGCGGCAUGCCUAACACAUGCAAGUCGAACGAGACCUUCGGGUCUAGUGGCGCACGGGUGCGUAACGCGUGGGAAUCUGCCCUUGGGUUCGGGAUAACAGUUGGAAACGACUGCUAAUACCGGAUGAUGACUUCGGUCCAAAGAUUUAUCGCCCAGGGAUGAGCCCGCGUAGGAUUAGCUAGUUGGUGAGGUAAAGGCUCACCAAGGCGACGAUCCUUAGCUGGUCUGAGAGGAUGAUCAGCCACACUGGGACUGAGACACGGCCCAGACUCCGUACGGGAGCAGCGAGUGGGGAAUAG
rnacentral:rRNA from 1 species